GUGCUCGCUUCGGCAGCACAUAUACUAAAACUGGAAUGAUACAGAGAAGAUUAGCAAGGCCCCUUCACAAGGAUGACAUGCAAAUUUUGAAGCGUUGCAUAUUUUU